GUGCUCGCUUCGGCAGCACAUAUACUAAAAUUGGAACGAUACAGAGAAGAUUAGCAUGGCCCCUGCGCAAGGAUGAAUUUGUGGCUCCAUUCCUGGGAGGAAAUGAUU